rnacentral:rRNA from 1 species
AGAGUUUGAUCCUGGCUCAGGAUGAACGCUGGCGGCGUGCUUAACACAUGCAAGUCGAACGAUGAAAGCGGGAGCUUGCUCCUGCUGGAUUAGUGGCGAACGGGUGAGUAACACGUGAGUAACCUGCCCUUGACUCUGGGAUAAGCGUUGGAAACGACGUCUAAUACCGGAUACGACCUUCGGAGGCAUCUCCUGGGGGUGGAAAGAAUUUCGGUCAAGGAUGGACUCGCGGCCUAUCAGCUAGUUGGUGAGGUAACGGCUCACCAAGGCGACGACGGGUAGCCGGCCUGAGAGGGUGACCGGCCACACUGGGACUGAGACACGGCCCAGACUCCUACGGGAGGCAGCAGUGGGGAAUAUUGCACAAUGGGCGAAAGCCUGAUGCAGCAACGCCGCGUGAGGGACGACGGCCUUCGGGUUGUAAACCUCUUUUAGUAGGGAAGAAGCGAAAGUGACGGUACCUGCAGAAAAAGCACCGGCUAACUACGUGCCAGCAGCCGCGGUAAUACGUAGGGUGCAAGCGUUAUCCGGAAUUAUUGGGCGUAAAGAGCUCGUAGGCGGUUUGUCACGUCUGCUGUGAAAACUGGAGGCUCAACCUCCAGCCUGCAGUGGGUACGGGCAGACUAGAGUGCGGUAGGGGAGAUUGGAAUUCCUGGUGUAGCGGUG